rnacentral:rRNA from 1 species
AUUGAACGCUGGCGGAAUGCUUUACACAUGCAAGUCGAACGGCAGCACGGGGCAACCUGGUGGCGAGUGGCGAACGGGUGAGUAAUACAUCGGAACGUGCCCAAUCGUGGGGGAUAACGUAGCGAAAGUUACGCUAAUACCGCAUACGAUCUACGGAUGAAAGCGGGGGAUCGCAAGACCUCGCGCGAGUGGAGCGGCCGAUGUCAGAUUAGGUAGUUGGUGGGGUAAAGGCUCACCAAGCCAACGAUCUGUAGCUGGUCUGAGAGGACGACCAGCCACACUGGAACUGAGACACGGUCCAGACUCCUACGGGAGGCAGCAGUGGGGAAUUUUGGACAAUGGGCGCAAGCCUGAUCCAGCCAUUCCGCGUGCAGGAUGAAGGCCUUCGGGUUGUAAACUGCUUUGUACGGAACGAAACGGCGAGCUCUAAUACAGUUGCUAAUGACGGUACCGUAAGAAUAAGACACCGGCUAACUACGUGCCAGCAGCCGCGGU